UCCACGCACCACGUUUUCCUGUGGCUGCACACGGGGACAUUGUUCACGUGAGCCUGAGAAACGGACAGCCCCGGGCCCCGAGACUCCACACGGGCCCACUGUGCACCGACACUCGGCACCCGGACACCCCCCUGCAGCUCAUAUUCUGAUCAAAAGAAUCAUCAUCAUGGAAAAAAAUCCUAACGACCUGAGAUGCUCUAAUUCUCGUGGCUUUUUCAGACGAGGCCCGCUCCCAGGGGCGAUCGCGGCCGUUAAGGCGUCUUGAGAAUGACAUGAUGUGUUACCAUUAUCACAUCAAAGCACAGGCUUUUCAUCCUGGUAGAACAUGUUUUUAUGAUUGAGAAACAAUAUGUAAUAUUUGUUGUUUUUAUCAAAGAAAAAAAGAAAGACGUAUUCAAGGGGCAAACACAUUUUCCAGAUCCCGUGAUCCAUCCGCCAAAGACUAUGAACAUGUCUCGUUAGAUUUAUUACAUUUUUUUUUUUUUUUGGCUGCAACGGAAAAAGAAAUGAAAGUGGAAAAAAUAAUCAAAAUUAAUGACGGCCCUAUGAAGCGACGUGAACUUUCUAGAAAGAAAAGCUGCGUCUAUUCCUAAGUUGUGAAGAAUUUAUAGGAAGGUUAUAUUAUUUUAAAACAUUCCUUCUAGCGACAGAGAACGCGAAGUUUUAUGUUCCUGAGGGUGGAUGAGAGUCAACUUGAUUCGCUGGCCUGGUGCCGCUGUUUCCCAAAGUGUGUUCCUGGGGGCAUCAGCCCCACCAGCUGCUCCUCAGCUGGGUCUGUGGGGGUUGUGCGGGUCAAAAAAAGUCAGAGAAAGCUGGAGCCCAUGUCCCUGCCUGGCAGCCCUAAAACCCAAUGGCAUUCAAGGCUCUGAGAGGUCUUGUAUUAAAGGCUUUGUUCAUG